rnacentral:rRNA from 1 species
GAACGCUGGCGGCAGGCCUACACAUGCAAGUCGAGCGGAAACGAAGAGGUGCUUGCACCUCUGGCGUCGAGCGGCGGACGGGUGAGUAAUGCUUGGGAAUAUGCCUUAUGGUGGGGGACAACAGUUGGAAACGACUGCUAAUACCGCAUGAUGUCUACGGACCAAAGUGGGGGACCUUCGGGCCUCACGCCAUAAGAUUAGCCCAAGUGGGAUUAGCUAGUUGGUGAGGUAAUGGCUCACCAAGGCGACGAUCCCUAGCUGGUUUGAGAGGAUGAUCAGCCACACUGGGACUGAGACACGGCCCAGACUCCUACGGGAGGCAGCAGUGGGGAAUAUUGCACAAUGGGCGCAAGCCUGAUGCAGCCAUGCCGCGUGUGUGAAGAAGGCCUUCGGGUUGUAAAGCACUUUCAGUAAGGAGGAAAGGUUAAGUGUUAAUAGCACUUAGCUGUGACGUUACUUACAGAAGAAGCACCGGCUAACUCCGUGCCAGCAGCCGCGGUAAUACGGAGGGUGCGAGCGUUAAUCGGAAUUACUGGGCGUAAAGCGUACGCAGGCGGUUUGUUAAGCGAGAUGUGAAAGCCCC